rnacentral:rRNA from 1 species
AAGUGCCGUAAGGCAUGGAGCUGACUGCUACUAAUAGGUCGAGGGCAUAACCA